AGCAUAUUUCCCUGACAGUGAUGUGAGAGGUGACCAGAUGUGUUUGCUGACCGUGGAGAUGCCUACACAUGGAAUCUCUUCCCUUCUUCAGCAGAGAAUGUUUCUUUCAUAAGAGAACAGCACAAGAUAUCU
rnacentral:lncRNA from 12 species